GCUGCAUACUGCAGGGUGUGACGGGGCCGGCGCCGCAGAGGAGUUGCAAGUCGGCGAAAGCGGCGGGAAGUUCGUACAGUGCAGAAGGCAACGCGUCUACGGCUCGGGUGAAGAUGCCUCGAGUAAAAGUGGCUCAGGCUGGAAGACAGGGCCCCACAAAGAGACAACUUGCCGAACACUUUGCAGCUGGGGAGAUCAUCACUGACAUGACGAAGAAGGAGUGGAAACUAGGAUCCCCCAUCGGCCAGGGCGGCUUCGGUUGCAUAUAUCUUGCUGAUCUGAAUUCUUCGAAAUCUGUGGGCAGUGAUGCACCCUGUGUUGUAAAAGUGGAGCCCAGUGACAACGGACCCCUCUUUACUGAACUGAAGUUCUACCAGCGAGCUGCCAAACCAGAGCAAAUUCAGAAGUGGAUUCGUACCCAUAAACUGAAGUACCUGGGUGUUCCUAAGUACUGGGGGUCCGGUCUACAUGAUAAAAGUGGAAAGAGUUACAGGUUUAUGAUAAUGGAUCGCUUUGGGAGUGACCUUCAGAAAAUAUACGAAGCAAAUGCCAAAAGGUUUUCUCGGAAAACUGUCUUGCAGCUGAGCUUAAGAAUUCUGGAUAUUCUGGAGUACAUUCACGAGCACGAGUAUGUACACGGAGACAUCAAGGCCUCAAACCUUCUUCUGAGCUACAAGAAUCCUGACCAGGUGUACUUGGUAGAUUAUGGCCUUGCUUACCGGUAUUGCCCGGAAGGAAUUCACAAAGAAUACAAAGAAGACCCCAAAAGAUGUCACGAUGGCACGAUCGAAUUCACCAGCAUCGAUGCGCACAACGGCGUGGCCCCAUCAAGACGUGGUGAUUUGGAAAUACUGGGUUAUUGCAUGAUCCAGUGGCUUAGUGGCCAUCUUCCUUGGGAGGAUAAUUUGAAAGAUCCUAACUAUGUUAGAGAUUCCAAAAUUAGAUACCGAGAAAAUAUUGCAGGUUUGAUGGACAAAUGUUUUCCUGAGAAAAAUAAGCCAGAUGAAAUUGCUAAAUACAUGGAAACAGUGAAGUUACUGGACUACGCCGAGAAACCUCUUUAUCAGAACUUGCGAGACACUCUUCUGCAAGGACUGAGAGCCAUAGGCAGCAAGGACGAUGGCAAGCUGGACCUCGGCCUUGUGGAGAACGGAGGCCUGAGAGCAAAACCAAUAACAAAGGUGAAUUUUGUUACUAAGUGAUCCUUUGGCUUCCUGUGGUGAUAAUUGCAGCAAGUACUAAUUUUCGGAAAGUCAAUGAGUAAAGAAGAUUGUAACAGACUGCUCGGCAAUUAAAUAUUUAUCACCAUCAUAUAAGGUGAUAUAAGACAGAAAAAUAUAUAGACGGUUGUAGAAAAAUGGAUGGAUGUUUCUUUAUCCCGUGGCAAGUUCGUAAAUUCCUAGCAAGAUUCUGAUGUGGGAUACUGAUAUCUGGCAGGGGAAUUUGAAUGGGGCACUCAGCCCGUGGUUUGGGGGGUUUUUACCUCCCAGGCCACCUGGCAGGGUUGCUCUGGGCUCUUAGCUCUUCCUCGCUUGUUGGUGUGGUCACAGUGCACCAUUUGAAAGUCGGGGUUCGAAAAUUACUAUUUGAAAAGUAGUGUUUGAUAGUUUCCUGGUUUGCUGGUGGGGAGUGUUCACCAUUUGUUUUGUUUUUUGUGUUUUUUUUAAAUAAUUUUUUCAUGUUUAUUUAUUUUUGAAAGAGAGAGAGAGAGAGAGAGAGAGAGAGAGAGAGCAGGGGAGGGGCAGAGAGAGAGGGAGACACAGAAUCCGAAGCAGGCUCCAGGUUCCGAGCCGUCAGCACGGAGCCCAACGCGGGGCUCGAAUUCGUGAACCAUGAGAUCAUGACCUGAGCCAAAGUCGGCCACUUAACUGACUGAGCCACCCAGGUGCCCCCACCAUUUGAACAUUAUUUUGUUUUUUACAGAAAUGUCGUCAUGUAAAGCGAUGUAUCUUCAUAUAAGGAGGUUUAAUUUUUUUGGAGAGCGAUAUUAACAAUGGGCUUGAUGGGUGAACUGUUGUGCUGGCCUGUAAAUAACUCCUGGUAUCACUUAAAAAUUUUAGAUUUGACAGGUAUACGUCAACUUCUUCGUUAUUUUUAAUCAUUAAAUUACUGACUAAUUUAGUGAUUUCCCUUACAGUCUGAAAUUAUUGAAUAAAAUGCGUUCGCUGCUUUUAAAUAGAAAAGGGAAAGUACUUUUAGCAGAAAAAUAUUUUUUUGUAGCGUUGCAUGUUUUUACUGUCAUUGACUGUAAAUUCCAGUACAUUCCUUUCUUAUUCCAAACUGUGAGAAAAAGGGUUUAAAUAAGGAACACCAUCUUAAGAUUUUUGUAACUCUUUUUAACUUCUAAAGGAGAUAAGAAUUUUGAAAUUGUAUCAUGAAUUUGACGCUUUUGGCAAACAUUAGGUCUCUUUGUAGUCUCACCACAGGAUCCGAAAUUAUGCGCUGCAUCUAUGUACACAUGUCUUUUCCUUUUGGAAGUUUUGUCUUAAUGGCAUCGCCCCAUUUUUGUGGUCAGCCAGUGUGCGGAAAGCCACGUCCAGCUUUGCAGUGCAGGGGAUAAAAUGGCGGCCCGAGUGGAAUUGUUCAGUAAGGCAGCAGAUUUGGACUUUGCACGUGCCUGCCAAGGCCAGACUUUCUGUGCGGCAAUAUUCGUAGCCAGCGUCUGUGGUGUUUUCCUCUAAAUUUUUGCCGAUUGGGAACUUAAAGAUCGAUUGUGGUGAGACCUAGUCCAGUGCCACAGCCCCUUACUCUGCAGGGCGCCGUUGCUGGGACUUCCGUGCUGGAGAAAACGUGGUUUCUGCAGCUUGGCUGACUUCAUAGCCCAGUAGGUCAGUGCUCUGCAGAACCAGGGUCUGUGACGUCACAGUCCUCAUGUGUCCUUGGGUAGUUCAGAAGGCCGGAGAUUUCCCUCUGGGCCAACCCCUGUCUGCAGAAAGAAAGCUUCGUUUAGAGGGCAAAAAUGAGUAUCAAAAGCGAAAGAAAGGAAUCGAGAGCACAGAAUCCAGUGUUGAAGAUAUGGAAUGCUCAGAUACACAGACAGAAGAGGCCACACAAACCCGU